rnacentral:sRNA from 1 species
UUUUCGUCUGAAUAAAAGAGGAUGAGAACCUCCGAAGGAGGGUUGCGCCGAGCGAAGCGAGACAACGUUGCGAACGCAACGGCCCGAAGGGGGCUUACGCAGUAAGCCUAAUCCUCUCUCGCCGACCA